AGGAAGGCUGUUUGCCUGACUGCGGUGAACAGCCCGACUUUCCUCUCAAAACAGUGCAGAGGUGGAAGAUGGCUGUAACUGACUAGGUAACUUAACAGCUGUUUGACUUGAAACUAAACUCGAGAUUUGAAUUCCAGUGCUGAGCUAGUGCGUAGCAGCUAAUUGCUGUAAGACAUGUUGCUGAAGAAUGUUAUUUAUGUCCCUUAUCAACGGAGGUGAAUGAAGGUACAGCAGCCAAGGUCCCGGAUGAUCACAGAUGUCCUCUCUGUCAGACCCUCGAAAGCUGGCACCCAUUCAUCAGCUGUGGGCAAGAGACGGCCAGACAGACGUGUCAAAACGCAACAUCCGAAGAAGGCUCAGUGCCCCAUCCCUAUAUGUCAUCACAACUAGAGCUGCCUGCAUGGAUUGAGUUAGAACAUUGAUGUGCAGCUGGCCAGCAUAGCCAGCCCUGAAGGGAAGGGAUUAAUUGCAUAUGCAUUGUGCUAAUGGCUCCUGGUUCAAACCACUCUUGACAACUUAGGCCUUUGGUGUUGUCAGACUAAAACCAAAGCUUUUUAGAUAAUGGCUCAUCAUGGAAAGUGUGAUACAGCUAGCAUGAUAGAGGAUGUCGUUUUAUGUAAGAGGGUCAAGAUAAAAAUAAAAA